ensembl:lncRNA
GGCACAGCACCCUUUUUUGGUUUGGACAGACCACAAGAACCUGCAACCGGGAUCAAGAAAUACCAAGCCUGACGCCUUAUCCCGUCUUUUCAGCCCGGAGCCCGUGGCCAGGGAACCUGAGCCCAUCCUCCCACUACACUGUGUGGUUGGAGCGGUUACCUGGCCUAUAGAGACCAAGGUGAAGCAGGCCAACGGUCCCUUGCCCUUCCUCAUGUGUCACCGGUCUGAUUGUCUCCCCUGAUUCCUGAUUGUGUCCACCUGUUCCCACAACUCCCUCAUGGGUACUUAUAGUCUGCGUCGCCCCUUGUCCUGUGCCAGUGUGUCUUGUUGUUUUGCCCUGCACACCAGCCCUCACGUCACGAGUCAAGUCAAGUCCGAUAACGUUUGUCACGUCCUUUUGAUCCCUGUUACGUUUCCUCGUUUAAGAGAGAUUUUGAGUUUUUGCCUUUUGAAUUUUGAUCUCAACCUUUUUCCUCAUUAAGAGAGAUUUUGAGUUUUUUCCUUGUUAUUAAUAAAAGCAAUAUCAGCUGAACCCUCUGCGUCCGAGUCC